GCCCUGGGACGAAAAGACGGGACGUAAUGUUCCGAAGGAAGGCCUCGUUUUAAUUUCCUGGUAUCAUGGACUGUACAUAUAUAAAAAUAAGAACAUUUGUAAAGAUUACCAUAAGAGACAAAAUGACGUAAGCUAUUUAAUGUUAAUAUGAAUGAGAUGCCAAGUAAAAUGAAAAAAAAUAUGAUAAUAAGAUGUUGGUUUUUGUUACAUAAC
rnacentral:lncRNA from 1 species